AGAGUUUGAUUCUGGCUCAGGAUUAACGCUGGCGGCGUGCCUAACACAUGCAAGUCGAACGAAAUAUCUUCGGAUAUUAGUGGCGAACGGGUGAGUAAUGUACAGGUAAUGUACCUUCGUACUGCGAAUAACAAGCUGAAAAGUUUGCUAAUACGGAAUAGUUUCAUUAGGGGGCAUCCUUUGAUGAAUAAAGAUUUAUCGUGCGGAGAUCAGCCUGUAUCCUAUUAGUUAGUUGGUGGGGUAAUGGCCUACCAAGACGACGAUGGGUAACUGGUCUGAGAGGAUGAGCAGUCACAUUGGAACUGAGAUACGGUCCAAACUCCUACGGGAGGCAGCAGUGAGGAAUUUUGCGCAAUGGGGGAAACCCUGACGCCAGCAACGCCGCGUGAGUGAAGACGGCCUUCGGGUUGUAAAGCUCUGUCGUGUGUGACGAGUAGGGACGGUAACGCACAAGGAAGCCUCGGCUAACUACGUGCCAGCCGCGGC
rnacentral:rRNA from 1 species